ensembl:ncRNA F39D8.5 ncRNA
GAAUACUCGGAAAUUGGCACAAGCUUCUUGCCCAAGUUUGGCCCAAAAAAAAGUUUGGCAAGAGUUGAGUGAAACUUGGAUUGAAUUUUGAUGUCGCCUGAAUCCAUUUUUUGCCAAAGUCUUGCCCAACUUUUGCCCUAGUUUAGCCAA